rnacentral:rRNA from 1 species
UACGUAGGCAGCAAGCGUUGUUCGGAGUUACUGGGCGUAAAGGGCUCGUAGGCGGUUUGUCGCGUCUGCUGUGAAAACUCGGGGCUUAACCCUGGGCCUGCAGUGGGUACGGGCAGACUAGAGUGCGGUAGGGGAGACUGGAAUUCCUGGUGUAGCGGUGAAAUGCGCAGAUAUCAGGAGGAACACCGGCGGCGAAGGCGGGUCUCUGGGCCAUAACUGACGCUGAGGAGCGAAAGCGUGGGGAGCGAACAGG